AGCGAACGCUGGCGGCAGGCUUAACACAUGCAAGUCGAGCGGGCGUAGCAAUACGUCAGCGGCAGACGGGUGAGUAACGCGUGGGAACAUACCUUUUGGUUCGGAACAACACAGGGAAACUUGUGCUAAUACCGGAUAAGCCCUUACGGGGAAAGAUUUAUCGCCGAAAGAUUGGCCCGCGUCUGAUUAGCUAGUUGGUAGGGUAACGGCCUACCAAGGCGACGAUCAGUAGCUGGUCUGAGAGGAUGAUCAGCCACAUUGGGACUGAGACACGGCCCAAACUCCUACGGGAGGCAGCAGUGGGGAAUAUUGGACAAUGGGGGCAACCCUGAUCCAGCCAUGCCGCGUGAGUGAUGAAGGCCCUAGGGUUGUAAAGCUCUUUUGUGCGGGAAGAUAAUACAGGU
rnacentral:rRNA from 1 species